CCUAACACAUGCAAGUCGAACGGUAGAGUAGCAAUACUUGAGAGUGGCGAACGGGUGAGUAAUAUAUCGGAACGUGCCCAGUCGUGGGGGAUAACGUAGAGAAAUUUACGCUAAUACCGCAUACGAUCUAAGGAUGAAAGCGGGGGACCGUAAGGCCUCGCGCGAUUGGAGCGGCUGAUAUCAGAUUAGGUUGUUGGUGAGGUAAAAGCUCACCAAGCCGACGAUCUGUAGCUGGUUUGAGAGAACGACCAGCCACACUGGGACUGAGACACGGCCCAGACUCCUACGGGAGGCAGCAGUGGGGAAUUUUGGACAAUGGGCGAAAGCCUGAUCCAGCAAUGCCGCGUGCAGGAAGAAGGCCUUCGGGUUGUAAACUGCUUUUGUACGGAACGAAACGGUCUGCUUUAAUACAGUGGGCUAAUGACGGUACCGUAAGAAUAAGCACCGGCUAACUACGUGCCAGCAGCCGCGGUAAUACGUGGGGUGCGAGCGUUAAUCGGAAUUACUGGGCGUAAAGCGUGCGCAGGCGGUUAUAUAAGACAGUUGUGAAAUCCCCGGGCUCAACCUGGGAAUUGCAUCUGUGACUGUAUAGCUAGAGU
rnacentral:rRNA from 1 species